rnacentral:rRNA from 1 species
UCCCAGACUCCUACGGGAGGCAGCAGCGGGGAAUAUUGCACAAUGGGGGAAACCCUGAUGCAGCGACGCCGCGUGAGCGAUGAAGUAUUUCGGUAUGUAAAGCUCUAUCAGCAGGGAAGAAAAUGACGGUACCUGACUAAGAAGCCCCGGCUAACUACGUGCCAGCAGCCGCGGUAAUACGUAGGGGGCAAGCGUUAUCCGGAUUUACUGGGUGUAAAGGGAGCGUAGACGGCAAUGCAAGCCAGAUGUGAAAGCCCGGGGCUCAACCCCGGGACUGCAUUUGGAACUGUGUAGCUGGAGUGUCGGAGAGGCAGGCGGAAUUCCUAGUGUAGCGGUGAAAUGCGUAGAUAUUAGGAGGAACACCAGUGGCGAAGGCGGCCUGCUGGACGAUGACUGACGUUGAGGCUCGAAAGCGUGGGGAGCAAACAGGAUUAGAUACCCCGGUAC